AUUGAACGCUGGCGACAGGCCUAACACAUGCAAGUCGAACGAGUGGCGGAAGGGUGAGUAAUGUCUGGGAAACUGCCUGAUGGAGGGGAAUAACUACUGGAAACGGUAGCUAAUACCGCAUACCAUCAGAUGUGCCCAGAUGGGAUUAGCUUGUUGGUGGGGUACAGGCUCACCAAGGCGACGCUCACUAACUGGUCGGAGAGGAUGCCAAGCCACACGGGAGCGGAGGACGGGUCCAUAAUCCGACGGGAGGCAGCAGUGCGGAAUAUUGCACAAUGGGCGCAACCCUUACGCAGCCAUGUCGAGUGUAUGAAGAAGGCCUUCGGGUUGUAAAGUACUUGCAGCGGGGAGGCGUUACCCGCAGAAGAAGCACCGGCUAACUCCGUGCCAGCAGCCGCGGUAAUAC
rnacentral:rRNA from 1 species